UGCGCAGAUAUCAGUAGGAACACCGAUGGAAAGGGCAGAUCUCUCGCCAGUAACUUGAUCGCUGAGGAGCGAAGGGGUGGAGAGCAAACAGAUUAAGAUAUCUUUGGUAGUCCACCCUGUAAACGGUGGGAACUAGUUGUGGGGACCAUUCCACGGUUUCCGUGACGCAGCUAACGCAAUAUGUUCCCCGCCUGGGGAGUACGGCCGCAAGGCUAAAACUCAAAGGAAUUGACGGGGACCCGCACAAGCGGCGGAGCAUGCGGAUUAAUACGAUGCGACGCGAAGAACCCUACCAAGCCUUGACAUACACCAGAACACCGUAGAAAUACGGGACUCUUUGGACACUGGUGAACAGGUGGUGCAUGGUUGUGGUCAGCUCCUGUCGUGAGAUGUUGGGUUAAGUCCCGCAACGAGCGCAACCCUCCUUCUAUGUUGCCAGCACGUAAUGGUGGGAACUCAUGGGAUACCGCCGGGGUUAAAUCGGAGGAAGGUGGGGAUGACGUCAAAUCAUCAUGCCCCUUAUGUCUUGGGGUUCACGCAUGCUACAAUGGCCGGUACAAAGGGCUGCAAUACCGUGAGGUGGAGCGAAUCCCAAAAAGCCGGUCCCAGUUCGGAUUGAGGUUUGCAACUCGACCUCAUGAAGUUGGAGUCGCUAGUAAUCGCAGAUCAGCAACGCUGCGGUGAAUACGUUCCCGGGUUUUGUACACGCCGCCCGUCAAGUCAUGAAAGUCGGUAACACCUGAAGCCGGUGGCCUAACCCUUGCGGAGGAAGCCGUCGAAGGUCGCCCCUAAAUUCACCUCCAGCUUAGAGCUAGUCAUCACCAGAUCCUU
rnacentral:rRNA from 1 species